rnacentral:tRNA from 1 species
AGAAAGUUAGUCUAACCAAGACAGUUGAUUUCGACUCAACAGAUUAUAGCCCCCAACCUAUAACUUUCUU